rnacentral:lncRNA from 10 species
GGGAAAUGAAUAAAGGAUGGAUUUUUAAUCAAUAAGGAAGCAGAACUUAAAGAUUUGGAAAAUUCUCAGCCUGUGUAUACUGUAAAAAGUGAGAAAUGUGUUGGGAGCUAACACCAAGGGUGUGGCCAAAUGACCCUUUGAUAAGGAAAUUAGUAUGGAUUGGCCAGGUGUUACUCAUCAAGACAAUAGAAGAAUGACCCUGAAGGCAUUUCAGAUUGGGGCUGCCACUCACAGGCCCAAGUGCAAGGACCUGGGGGAGAGAAUGAUUUCAAAGGAGGGGUGAUUGGCACCCCUGGGACCUUGGCACCCUCUGCCCAGCCCUGCCUCAAGGUUCUGCUUCCUGCACUUUGUCACCAUGCUCCUCCACUGCCCCAGGUGUGGCUCUCGUGGCCCUGAUUCAAUAUGCACUACACCCAGCAGAGCUAUAAGGGUCUGGCUCCCUCUACCUAAAUUUCAAAGGAUGACCUGGAGAGCCUGGAGCCCAGGCAGAAAGCAGCCAUGAGGUGGGGCCACUGCAGGGAACCCACACUAGGGCAAUUCCCAGUGGAGCCAUGGGGGGCAUGGCCACAUUGAGACCAACAGUUAGAGCCACUGGCAUAUGAUUAUAUCUGGGGAGAGCUGCAGGUUCAAGACCCAGGCAAGGAGCCACCAUGGAGAUGGGGCCUGCUCAAAGCCCCAUUAAGAGAACUGCCAUGGGAAUGGGGCUCCUCAAAGCCAUGAGGGCAAGGCCAUGCCCCAGUGGGUUCAGAAAGGGGAACUUCAACCCCGCUAGGACUGGCAGGAAGAGCCUCGAGUCAA